UUUCUGCCGCAGGUACGCCAACCUAUUUGAGACACCUAAAUAGUCGCGGUACUGAUCAUCUGUUUGGCUGUUUAACGGACCUAUGCCUUCAUUUGAUAUGGCCAUUUCAACUUUUAAGAAAUUUGGAACUCGACAAAUAAUGGAAUUUGUAUGCAACUUUCCAGUCCCGAAAUCGAGACUGCGAUGUUUUUAACUUUUAAAUUUUUUGACUGACCAUAAACCACACACUUGGUGACCUAUUUUUUAACCGGCAACGUCGACUUUGCCGUCCAUUUU